rnacentral:pre_miRNA from 1 species
GACGGUAAGUUGGAGGAUGUCUUUAACGUAACUGGGCAGGUACGAAACCUGCCCAGUUACGUAAAAGACAUCCUCCAACGCCUGUC